UCUCCGUUGGUGAGCCAGCGGAGGGAUCAUUACCGAGUUUACAACUCCCAAACCCCUGUGAACAUACCUAUCGUUGCCUCGGCGGUGCCCGCUCCGGCGGCCCGCCAGAGGACCCCCAAACUCUUGUUUUAUACAGUAUCUUCUGAGUAACACGAUUAAAUAAAUCAAAACUUUCAACAACGGAUCUCUUGGUUCUG
rnacentral:misc_RNA from 1 species